rnacentral:rRNA from 1 species
AAUAGAUACCCCGGUAGUCCACGCCGUAAACGUUGGGCACUAGGUGUGGGGUCUAUUCAACGGACUCCGUGCCGUCGCUAACGCAUUAAGUGCCCCGCCUGGGGAGUACGGCCGCAAGGCUAAAACUCAAAGGAAUUGACGGGGGCCCGCACAAGCAGCGGAGCAUGUUGCUUAAUUCGAGGCAACGCGAAGAACCUUACCUGGGUUUGACAUGUAGAGAAAAGCCAUAGAGAUAUGGUGUCCUUCGGGGUUCGUACACAGGUGGUGCAUGGUUGUCGUCAGCUCGUGUCGUGAGAUGUUGGGUUAAGUCCCGCAACGAGCGCAACCCUUGUCCUAUGUUGCCAGCACGUCAUGGUGGGGACUCGUAGGAGACUGCCGGGGUCAACUCGGAGGAAGGUGGGGACGACGUCGAAAUCGAUCAUGCCCCUUAUAUCCAGGGCUGCAAACAUGCUACAAUGGCCGGUACAAAGGGCUGCGAAACCGCGAGGUGGAGCGAAUCCCAUAAACGCCGGUCUCAGUUCGGAUUGGAGUCUGCAACUCGACUCC